rnacentral:rRNA from 1 species
GUUGUAUGGUUAAGUGACUAAGCGUAUACGGUGGAUGCCUUGGCAGUUGGAGGCGAUGAAGGACGUACUAACUUGCGAUAAGCCUAGUUGAGCCAGUAAGAGGCGCUUGAGACUAGGAUUUCCGAAUGGGGAAACCCACCUGCUUUGCAGGUAUCAUAUGGUGAAUACAUAGCCAUAUGAGGCGAACGCGGAGAACUGAAACAUCUAAGUACCCGUAGGAAAAGAAAUCAACCGAGAUUCCGAAAGUAGCGGCGAGCGAAAUCGGAACAGCCCUUAAGCUGUUUUGUAAUUAGUGGAAGGCUCUGGAAAGUGCCACGAUACAGGGUGAUAGUCCCGUACACAAAAAUUUAU